CUCCCUGCUACUUCCUGGUCCCCAGGGGGCCCCUCCCUCGGUCAGCAGAGGGUGAACAGAGGGUGGGCCCCAGGAGCCUGAGACCAGGGCAGCCCCCUGAUGAGAGUGAUGAUCAGCUGCGCUGAUUUGCUGAUGGAAAUUUGCAUACAUCAUGUAAUUUGGGCCGAUCGAGUUGUCGGUUAAGAUGGAAUCCCUUGAUGAGCAACAUGCACUUGGCAGUGACCGAGGAGACAAGAAACCCUGGAGAUGCUGCAGUGGAAACGCGCUCCUGUUUUUGAAGGAGAUGGCCAUUUUCAGAGUCCACGUCUAACAACCCACAUUCCUAAGUCCCCCUUCCCUCCAGGUCACAGCUGGCAUCUGUUGAGAUGAAAAACUUCAUGGCAUGGCUUGCCACACGGUGCAAUGUCCGCAUCCAGGAUCCAAACCGGCGAACCCCGGGCCGUUGAAGUGGAACGUGCGCACUGAACCGCUGCACCGCCAGGCCGGCCCCCAAGUUGACUGAGGUGGGCUGAUCCAGCCUAGGCUUGGCUCCAGGCUGCAGGUUGGAUCCAGAUCUGCUCCACGUGUCUCUCAUCCUCUCUGACCCGCUAGCAAACUAUGGCAUCCUCUUCUACGGUGAUGAUGGAACAGCAAGAGUGAAGGAAGUCAUCUCUGGACAUAGAGUGGGUCCAAGCUACAGAAAAAAAAGGAGAAAAGCUGAGGGCUUUGGAGUGGUUCAGCCCUGGCAGCACGAUAGCAGGCCUCUCAGAGCCUUCUGCUCGUUGUGUUUUCACCUCACCCAGCGGCAGAGGAUUCCCUUAAGGUGCCCUGGACUGGACCCCUCAUGGGGAUUGAGAAGCUGGGGAGUCACAGCCACAUCGUGUUGGUAAAGAUGUGGAGAAACUAGAGCUCUUAUGCACUGUGGGAUCCGCUGUGGGAACGUAAAAUGUGAAUGUCUUUGGAAAACAGUGUGGCAGUUUAAAAAAAUUAAACAUACAUCUAUCACACGAU
rnacentral:lncRNA from 1 species